UAUGACCUACGGGGGGCAGCAGUAGGGAAUCUUCCACAAUGGACGAAAGUCUGAUGGAGCAACGCCGCGUGAGUGAAGAAGGGUUUCGGCUCGUAAAGCUCUGUUGGUAGUGGAGAAAGAUAGAGGUAGUAACUGGCCUUUAUUUGACGGUAAUUACUUAGAAAGUCACGGCUAACUACGUGCCAGCAGCCGCGGUAAUACGUAGGUGGCAAGCGUUGUCCGGAAUUAUUGGGCGUAAAGCGAGUGCAGGCGGGUCAAUAAGAUU
rnacentral:rRNA from 1 species